rnacentral:rRNA from 1 species
UACGGGGGGGGCAAGCGUUGUUCGGAAUUACUGGGCGUAAAGGGCUCGUAGGUGGCCUCUUAAGUUGGACGUGAAAUCCCUCGGCUCAACCGGGGAACUGCGUCCAAGACUGGGAGGCUCGAAUCCGGGAGAGGGAUGUGGAAUUCCAGGUGUAGCGGUGAAAUGCGUAGAUAUCUGGAGGAACACCGGUGGCGAAGGCGGCAUCCUGGACCGGUAUUGACACUGAGGAGCGAAAGCCAGGGGAGCAAACGGG